UUUUUCUUUUCUCUUGUAUUUUCUCUUUACUGAGUUCAUCCUCAAAAUAUUAGGGGAAUAAAAAAUAUUUAAAAGUCCGUUUGAUAGUGAUUUUAAAAAAUGUUUUGAGUUUAAAAUGUGUUUGACAAAAUAUUUUCGUUAAAAAUAGUUUAAAUAAAAAUACCGAGAAACACACUCUUAAAAUAGUGAAGCAAACUCAAACUUGUUCUUAAAAUUUGCACACUUGAGUUUAACAAACAAUAUCUUGAAAGCUACAUAGGACCCAACUUGAUUGGUUUUAGCUAUU
rnacentral:lncRNA from 1 species